AUGACCAUGAAAAAUGUUCUCCUUUUGGCAGAGCGUUCUCAGCUCCAGAAGAGAAGCAGCUCCCCUUUCUCCAAGUUCAGGGCCGAGUCCCCACCUGGGAGGGCACACAGACCUGGAUUGCGACCGCGUCACGCAUUAGCUGUGUCGGGCCUCGGUUUCUUCUCUGUACACGGGACUAGCAGCCCAAGGACACCGUUGGGAAGAUUUAGUGAGAUAAUACAUGAAAAGGGCCUGGCACAUAUGGGGAGCCCACGGUUGGUGCCCUCCCCUUUUCCUUGUUCUGAACUGGAAAUGAACCCAUGUGAAAGAAGGGGGGCGCCGCACGACAAGGUCAGCUCCGGGGUGAUUGCUCGCAGAGGUCUCCAGCUCAGCCCUCUGAAGUGCCUGGUCCCUGCACCCACCAAAACGGUUCCCUCCAGCCCUGCUGUUGUUCCGUUUCUGUCCGCCAGGGGGAGACAAGGCGCAGGCUCCCUCCCGUCCGGCUUUCCUUGCGCGUUCACAGAGCCUCGAGAGCGCGCGGCCGUGCGCGGGACCCCGCGGCCGUGCGCGCCCGCGGGACUCCCAGGGGCGGGGCGCGCACGCGCAGACGGCUGCGCUUCCCGCGUGGCAGGACCGGGUAGGGUUGAGGCUGCAGGCUCCCUGCAGGAGAAACCCUCCCUGAUUUCGGAGACCUCCCGCAGAAGAAGGUCAACUCGGAUGAGCCUUCCCAACUUCUGGCGUUUGCCUUCUGCGCGGCAGCGGCCCCCACCUGCCCUGGUUUCAGGAGCACUGGCCGCAGAUGGCAGUCAGGUGAGCCCCAGUCAGCCUGAAUCCUUACCUUGCUUGUCUUAUUCCCCUGCUCCAGCCUGGCCCCUCCCAGUCCAGAAUCACACCUGCAGGUGUUCAUGGAGGGCCACAGUCUUACCCUCCCUGGGGCUGCCCUCCAGUCCGGGACUGCUGUGGACAGCUCACCCAGAGAAGAGUCCAGCCAAACAGUGUAUCAUACCUUUAAGGACGGCGGUGAGCGGCCCUGGCUGGGUUGAUCCUCCACCCCCCACGAAUACAUUGAGGCCGAGCACCAGAUCCGAACGGGGCCAAUCACAGCCCUUCCCUGAGAACCGGUGCUGGGGAGGAGUGCUGCAGGCUGGGGCCUCGCUGGGCGCGAGGGAGCCCCUCCGCGACGUGACCCGGGAACGGAGACCUGAACACCGAGAAGACCGAAGGACCGGCACAGGCGCUAACAGGCGAACGGCCCAAGGGCUGGGGCGAGCCGGCCGCGCUCGUGCAGGAGAUCGGAAGGCUGGCGGAGGAUGCGGCGCCGCCGCCGGAACCGCUGCCCCGCACCGCCUCCCCCCCC
ensembl:lncRNA